rnacentral:rRNA from 1 species
GUGGGGAAUCUUGCGCAAUGGGGGCAACCCUGACGCAGCGACGCCGCGUGCGGGACGAAGGCCUUCGGGUCGUAAACCGCUUUCAGCAGGGACGAGACAAGACGGUACCUGCAGAAGAAGCCCCGGCUAACUACGUGCCAGCAGCCGCGGUAAUACGUAGGGGGCGAGCGUUAUCCGGAUUCAUUGGGCGUAAAGCGCGCGUAGGCGGCCGCGUAGGCGGGGGGUCAAAUCCCGGGGCUCAACCCCGGUCCGCCCCCCGAACCCCGCGGCUCGGGUCCGGUAGGGGAGGGUGGAAUUCCCGGUGUAGCGGUGGAAUGCGCAGAUAUCGGGAGGAACACCGGUGGCGAAGGCGGCCCUCUGGGCCGAGACCGACGCUGAGGCGCGAAAGCUGGGGGAGCGAACAGGAUUAGAAACCCCAGUAGUCC